rnacentral:rRNA from 1 species
UAAUACGGAGGGUGCAAGCGUUAUCCGGAUUUACUGGGUUUAAAGGGUGUGUAGGCGGGCCUUUAAGUCAGUGGUGAAAUCUCCGAGCUUAACUUGGAAACUGCCAUUGAUACUAUUGGUCUUGAAUUUUGUUGAGGUAGGCGGAAUAAGUCAUGUAGCGGUGAAAUGCAUAGAUAUGACUUAGAACACCAAUUGCGAAGGCAGCUUGCUAAACAAAUAUUGACGCUGAGGCACGAAAGCGUGGGGAUCAAACAGG